rnacentral:lncRNA from 10 species
GCACCCGACCCUUCCAGGGGUCCCGGCUCGCGCCGCGGCCGCGCGAGGCGCGCUCGAGCGGAAGUGGCGGCGACCCCGCCGGAAGCGCGCGGCUGCGGCGCGGGAAGCAACCCAGAGCCCUCCUCCCGCCUGCUCUGUGUAGGAGACAGCCUGCGGAGCCCACUGCCGGCGCGCAGAGAGCCCAGCAGCUCUUGAGUCCAGGAAGCAAGGGUGGGAGGAGGGACGAGCCAGUGGCAAUGACCCAGACCCGGACGACCCCCAUUGCUGAGCCAGCGGAGCUGCUUGGAGGCAGAGGUUGCAGUGAGCUGAGAUUUUGCGACUACACUCCAACCUGGGCAACAGAGCGGGACUCCAUUCCAAAAAAAUAAGAAAAACAGAAAAAUAAUAAUUACAUCUGCAAAGACCUUAUUUCCAGGGUCCACGAGGCUGGUGUCAGACCUAUUGGGAGACCCUCUGCGUUAGUGAGAAAAACGGCAAGAAAUGGGAGCACGCGGAAACCUCCAAGACUAGAGCCACCAGAUGCCACCGACAGCACGCAGCUGGACCAGCACGGGGGAGGGCCUUCGUGGGUCGAGAGCUCGCUCGGGAGAUAGUUGGUGCUUUUCUUUCAGGAGAAGAAUCCCUGGCGGAGUCUGACCGUUCUCUGGCGCACAGCCCCGGGGGUGGGCACAGCAGCCGCCCCUGCUGAAGGGACUGACGCCUCCGACGACCAGCAGCCAAGUUAAACGCACUGUUCCGUGAGCAGCUUUGUUGGAGACAGCGCGGUUCACAUUCUCUUCCAACGGAGCCGCUGACUGCGGAGCUGGGAGGGGACGUGACAGAACCCAGCCAUCCAACGUCCCCCCACCCCUCCCCAGCUGGGACCUCCGGCUGCUUCCGGGCUGCGCUGGGUGGCGUCAAGGAGCCGCCCCUCUGGGCCGCGUCCCUCCCUCACGCCCUGCACACUGGCCCUGUGUGGCCGGCGGGGCGCCUAAAAGGGCGGAAGGAUGCAGGGGCGGAGGGGGCUCGGGAUUGCACGCCUAGCUCAGACCCCCCAGCCAGGACCCCUCGCGCUGUUGGACACGCCAGCCUCCCGACCCUGCGGCUCCUACGGGAGGUGACAAGGACCCUGCCAACCUGGCCUGAAUGGCCCAGUUUGAUACAGAUCAGGUUUUCAAUGAAUGAGACCGCGGUGUGGUCUAGGCGGAGGGAUGAGAGGAGGGGAUUCUGCUGGGAUAAGUGGGGGCGGGGUAAGGAGGGGAUUCUUUUCCUGGGCUGAGGAGAACGCAGGGACAAAGUACACAGGGGUAGUUGAGUGAGCAGGUGAGGCCCUAGGCUGGUUCCCCACCUUCUCAGGAUCGGAGCCACUCACUUCCUGGUACUCUCUGCAGUCUCCUGGCGUUAAAUAACAUCCCUUUGCUGGAGACUCUGGAUUCACAUCCAUAAUCGCAGCCUCCCCUACUCAUCCCCUCACGCUUCCCAUGAACUAACCUUGAAGGACCCGACCAGAGCCCUGACCUCCGUCCCACACACCUGCUACAUGGAAGGUGUUCUCCACAUCAGUUCAAGGCAGUGUCACUCUUCAGGAUGUUCAGGCUCUAAACCUUGGACUCCUCCUCCAGAUUUCUCUCUCCUUCCUUCUCCUUGUCUCUCCCUUGCACUUACGGUUCACUUUUCCUUCGUAGCUUUGUAGCUCAUUCCCCCUUCCACUUUCCACACCACCUUCUGGUCUGUUAAUUAAAUAUUACCUGGUUUCCACUGACACCUUCCCUGGGUUCCCAAUUGAAAAUCACAACAUCAUCCUCCUCCUCUGCUUUUUUUCUCCAAAUUAUAUCCUCACCCAAUUAUGUGUUAUUCUCAUUAAUCUUGCUUAAUUAAUUAGCAGACAUUAUUAAUGCCUGUUUCCCCUAUCACCACCACUAGACUAUGAACUCCUAAGGACUCCUUCCUUCCACCACUGUUGUACUCGCUUCACCUAGAACUGCUUGGCACAUACAAUGUGCUCCAUAAAUAUUUGUUGAAUGAAAGACUAGACACAACUUAGGAUUCACUCCCCCAUGUGGCAUCCAUAAGCCCUGUAUGCAGGUAAAAUGUCAGUGGGUUGACUAAAUACUGGAAGUGGAAAAAACUUCACCUCUUUGGUUUGCAGUUGUCUAGGAUAUUUAGGCCAAUGGAAAAUCCAGUUUUCCUUAGAAUUAAGCCAGUGCCGCCAGACUUGCCAGUUUACCAUGCUUGUCUGACUGGUCCUCAGCAUGGGUCAUACGUGUCCAAUGAAUUCAAACAAAAUCUUGAGAAGACACGAACCUUGCCCUUCGGCUGGGCGCGGUGGCUCACGCCUGUAAUCCCAGCACUUUGGGAGGCCGAGGCAGGCGGAUCACGAGGUCAGGAGAUCGAGACCAUCCUGGCUAACAUGGUGAAACCCCGUCUCUACUAAAAAUACAAAAAAUUAGCCGAGCGUGGUGGCGGGCGCCUGUAGUCCCAGCUACUCAGGAGGCUGAGGCAGGAGAAUGGCGUGAACCCGGGAGGCGGAGCUUGCAGUGAGUGAGCCGAGAUCGCACCCCUGCACUCCAGCCUGGGCGACAGAGCGAGACUCCGUAAAAAAACAAAAAAAAAACCUUGCCCUUCAUUCCCCAUUUCUAUCAUAAUCUACACAGAGUUUUGAACAGGCAUUUUAAAAUCAACAAUAUAUUAUUUACAAUUUUGUUAGUAUACAUAACUCUAACUCACUGUUAAAAAUCACCUGUCUUUAUAUCCAUUAAAUGACACUUGCAUAUGCUCCAAUUUUUCACUAAUGAUUUCGAGAGCAUUCUGGGACACAGGUGUCUGGACCUUUCAUAAGUAAACAGAAUUCCUAGCGACGGAAUUGUGUAUGCAGUAUGGAAACACCUUAUAAUAUACUGUCCUGGAUAUUGUAAAGGUGAACCAACAUUCUGUUAAAUUUAGAGCAAGUUGCAGAAAACUAUAUGAUACUUAAUUCUGUGCUAUAUGUAUAAUGGUUUCUUAGGGUUUUUUAAAUUUUUUUUUUCUUAGAGACAGUGUCUCACUCUCUUGCCCAGUCUGGAGUACAGUGGCACAAUCACAGCUCACUGCAGCCUCGACCUCCUAGGCUCAAGUGAUACUCCCACCUCACCUCCCAAGUAGCUGGGACUACAGGCAUGUGCCACCAUGUCCAGCUAACUUUUUUUUUUAUAUAAGAGAGAGGGACCCCACUACGUUGCCCAGGUUAGUCUUGAACUCCUGGGCUCAAGCAAUCCUGCCUCAGCCUCCCAAAGUGCUGGCACUACAGGCAUCAGCCACUGCACCCUGUCUGCUGCCAUAUAUAAUGUACAUUUUAAGAACUCUAUAUAGAUUCAUUUAUGUAUAUGUUUAGAAAAAAAUUCUGGAAU